rnacentral:lncRNA from 1 species
AUCUGUUAAUAAACUAUGGACUUUUCUAAAGCUUAUAAAAUUUAUUAGACGUCAAUUCAAAUAGGAACGACACAUAUCAUUUCUCUUAAUAAAGUUAAUCAUUUUGCUAUUGAGAAUGAAGGAAAGGAACAUCAAAUAUAUAUAUUUUUGAUGAGGCUGACAUUUAUAUUUUCAUCAUAUGUGGAUCGACGUCACUCAUUGUUUAUUAACCUGUUGAUACUUGUUUUUCCUUUUCUUACUUUUCAAAUAUAUAAAAUCAUCAGUGUACUUAGUAAAGGAGGAGAUGUGACUCUGCUAAAAGAUUUUAACAAAUUUAAUAAAAUAGAUAUAGAUAAUUAAUGUUUGUUUUAUUAUAACAGGUAACUUAGGAGUCAAAUGGGAGGAGUCCGAAAGAUCACAGACCGUUCAUUCUAGUUAAAAACUUUUAAUACUAUGUGUUUGGUUAUUCUGUUCGAGAAAUUCCGCGUCGAGGAGGACAACAGGUGUUGUAUUACAAACGAGAUGUCGGAGAAAGAAGUUGAAGAAGUAUGGAGUGAAAUAAUACUGUUUGAGGACGAAAAAGAGAAGCAGAUAGACAGAUUGGAAAGAAGUUUAGAGAACGGAUUCUCGUGUAAAGAUUUGGAAAAAUUAUAGGGCAAAUUUGAAGAAACAGUGACGAGUCUCAACACUUUGAAGACAAAGCUGAUCGAGCACAGGAAGAAAGUUGAGAUGUUGACUGUAGAAGAGCUCACCAAAGCACGAAAGGAGAACUUACUUGUGGUAAGAGAUGUAGAAGAUUUACAAGAGAGAGUUAUGACGGCAAAAGUAAUAAAUAAUGAUUUGGAGUCUCUGAGAAGUCAUCAUCAUAACUUAAAAGAACUGAUAAUUAAGCUUGAAAUAGAAAGGGUGAAGUUGGCAAAUGAGAAAUUUGUGGAAGACAAAGUGAGUCAGCCUAGUAACGAUAGAAAAACGCCAAGAGAAGAUACAAGUUUGGAAAUGGGAUCUAUAGUAACAAAUGAAGAAAUGCCUAUUGAUGGAAAUAAUAUUGAACUAAUCGAGGAGAGAAUGAUAACCAAAGAAAUAUCACUGCUUGAAGAAGGUGCUGACGAUAAUAUUAGAGCGAACGAUAGUGAUGGGUUUAGACUCGGAGAAGAAGCAUCUAUGAGUUGUUAUUCAAAUCAUUCCCAUUUGGAAGAAGCAUUGGUGAAAAAUACAGAACUCCUAAAUCAUAUGGUAAAGGAAUUAGUAGAAACGAAAAGAGAAAAAAAAAGAAUUCGUUUCUUCAAAUAGCUGGAUAUAAACCUGAAAAGUGGAUGGACAUACAAAGAAUUAUCGUUUGUGUAAAACUUCGUUUUUAGACACCUUGGAGGCUGCAAGUGUUCCGAAUGAAAUGACAAGGCGAGCAUUAUUGAUUCAGGCAUUGCCUAGUUCUUAUCACGAGGAGGUAAGAUUAAGCACGACAAUAAAAGAGGUAUUUGAUAAAUUUCAAUGUACAAUAACUGAGCAUGAUGUACUGAGCAAAAUAAGGGCAGAGUUUCUUAAAAUAAGAAGAAUUGAAGAUGGAAAUAGUGAACAAAUGAAUAGUUUGACAUUAUCUAUCGAGCUCUUUCGAGAUCGGUAGAGAAGAAUUGGUCAAGCAGAAUAUGUUGACAAAUAUCUUUUGAUAGAAGAUGUUAUAAGAAAUAAAUUACCGGAGAGAUUAUCCGAAUUAUUUAUAAAAAUGAAGAAGGGUUACAAUGUAAAUGAACUAGUCUUGUUUCUAAGGGGAAAUGCGUACCCAUGUAGGAGAAGAAACGAUGUGAGAACUCAACAUCACUCACUAUCGUCUAUGUUCAAUAAAGAAGCCGUGAAGAUGGAUUAUGAUUGUGGCUGUGGCAAUAACUGUUAUGACCAAACGAAAUAUAAGAAAGUUGUUAUAUUAUCUGUAAAAGAACGUCAGAAUAUCAUAGCUAAAAGAAUAGUUUGUUUUCGAUGUCUGAAAGUUGGACAUAAAGGGUUUAUGUGUUCCAGUUUUGUAAAAUGUAGUCUUUGUAGCAGACACAACCAUCACACUCUUCUUCAUAUACCAAUCAAAAGACAUAUUGAGAUGGAAAAACAUGAAUGUUAAUACCCUACAGGUAAAUAAAGUACGACUACCAGUGGCUAUGAUGGAAAUUCAAGAUCGGGAUGGAUUAUGGAGAUAAGUUCGAGCGUUGAUAGAUUCUGGAAGUGAUACAAGCCUUAUAAGAAAAUCUUUAGUGUCUCAAUUAGGUUUAAAUGGAAUACCUGGUAAGAUUUGUUACGAGGUUGCUAGUGGAAAGUUACAUGAAGAAAAGACGAGGAAAUAUAAUGUCAUUGUUCGUUGUGUGAACCAAAAUCAAACAGAAAAGGCUUACAAUCUGUGCUUGUUUUCUAUAGGCAAUACAUGUGGGAAAUGGCCAGAAUUAGAAAAGGAUUUUUUUAUCAAAUAUCCAUAGAUAAAGUGUUUGUAUGAUAGAAUAGCUAAAGAAAGUGGAGUAAUUGAUAUACUCAUCGGCCAAGAUUUUAAAUAUCUUCUGGAAGAAUUGGGCCGAAUAAAACGCAUAUGGAAUGAACCCUGUGCAAUCAAGUAUCCUCUAGGAUGGGCUGUUGUUGGUAGAGUUAAGGAAGUGUCAACUAAUUAUCUGUUUUGUGUUAGAAGGAAAGUCUACGUUUUUAGAAUAGAGUGUGUAAUUGAUGAAGACGUAGACAAUUUUAGGAAAAUAAUGUAAAUGAUCAAUCAGGAGUAAAACCUACUAGAUUGUGCUUGUGUAGUGAGAAGGAAUUUGACGAGUCUCGUUUCAUCAAGAAGGUGAAGGAAGAUAUUAAAUUGAUAAAUGGUCCUGUGGAAGGGAGACUACCAUAAAAAAGUGUUUUCCGACAGAGCUUCCAAAUAAUAGAAAGGAAUCUAUCAAAGCGAGGAAGUCACGUUAGAAACAAUUGAUAAAGAUGGACAUAUGGAAUUAUUCAAUGAUCAGAUAGAUGAAUUAGAGGAGAAUGAAUUUAUACUAGAAGUUAAACCGAAAGUAAACGAAGAAGGUUUCUAUUUAAAUAUACGAGGAGUCCCAAAGACAACAAGUGAAUCAACUCCUUUAAGAAUUGUUUUAACUCAUCAAAAGAAAUUUGGCCAGAAUUCACUUAUAAUGAUCGUUUCGAGAAAUGACAUAAUUUGAGGAAUAGAGUAUUUGAAGUUCUCAUAAGAUUUAGAGGAGACAAAGUGGCUUUCCAUGGUGACAACAACGUUUAAUCGUAUUUUUAUUAAAGAUGAUGAUAGAAAAUAUCAUUGCAUUGUAUGGAGAGAUGGAGAUGAAAGAGCGAAUCCCAAAAAAUACGAAUGGCCAAGUCUGAUAUUUGGAGAUAAGCCUAUUCCAGACUUAUCUCAAAGUGCCGUCCGAUUUAUGGGCGAAAAAUAUGUGAAUGAGUACCCAGAACCUAGAAGAGUCUUAUUUGAAGAUGCUUAUGUUAUGAUAUUGUUACAUCCGUGGAAAGUGAUGAGGUGGCUAGUAAAAUAAUGAUGGAUGUAGAUCGUGUUCUGCUUUGUGGAGGUUUUAAAAUAAAAAGAUGGUAUUCCAGUGCGUUAAGCUCAGGAAAAUUAUGUCUCGUGAUUCCAGUUCUUGGACAUAAUUGGGACGUGGAGUCGGAUUAUAUACGACUAGGAGUAAGAGAAUGGCAAAACUUAAUCAGAGUGAACAAGAAAACAAUUUUGUCAGCUAUUGCUCGAAUAUGAAAUCCCCUAGGAAUAGUUGCUCCUGUUUUGAUUGAGCUGAGAAUAGAUUUUCAAUCUUUGUGGCACGAGGAAUAGAUUGGGACACAGUUCUAGAAGAAAAAGAAGCAGAAGUAUGGAAGACAUCAAUCAAAUCACUGGAACUGUUGAAGUAAGUACAAAUAAUAAGAUCAUUACGUUCAAAAAAUGUAGUAGGAAGACCUGAAAUUCAUGGAUUUGCUGAUGGAAGAGAAUUAGCUUAUGGAGCUUGUGUGUUUGCUCGAUGGAAUCUGGGGGACGGAAGUUUUUAAGUCAAAUUUAUAGCAGCGAAGUCUUACAUAACUCCUAUUCGAAUCAAAAGCAUACCUAGAAUUGAACUAAAUGGAUUAUUGAUCAUGACAUGAUAAGUCUAUUAUAAACGCGUUACAAUGGGAAACAGAAAAAGUUUAUAUGUGGAGUGAUUCAAAGACGGCAUUAAACUGGAUUCGAAAUGAUAAAGACUCUUUUAAGGCUCAUGUGUAAGCUCGUGUGUCAGGGAUUGAAGAUACUUUUUCGCCAGAAUAGUUUUGUUUUGUUCCAGGAAAGCAAAGCCCGGCGGAUGGUCUCACAAACAUUAAACCUUUAAUUACCUUAAAAUUUGGCAUCAAGGUCCGUCGUUUCUCUACAUUGAAGACUGGCCAGAAGAUCCCCAAUAUAUCUAAAUGAAUGUUCGGAACGAUCCAGAAAUCAAAGAGACUAAACGUCUAGGGAGAAAAUGUAGGGGAAAGAUAGGAACAAUUUGUAUGGAUUUUGAAGAAGAUGAUAACCUUAAGACUUUGGGAGUAAAGUUAGAAGACACCCUUGUGUGGAAAGAUGUCUUAAUAAAGUAAAUAAAGAGGAUAACAUGGGAGCAAAAUUGAAGGUCGUUGGAGCCUUUCAAGGGAAUAUGGAUUUUAAGAAUAAAGAAUUUCGAAGUUUAUGUCCGGUCUACCAUGCAAUAGACGAAGUUUAUAGAGUGGGUUCGCGUCUGGAGAAAAUAGAUUAGAUGACAAAAGAACAAAAAUCGCCUAUGAUUAUUCCUGGAGGCAUAGUACAACAUCACCAUGAUAAGGUUUAUCACAGGGGAUCAAGACGAACCUUUGCAUCUAUUUUACAUGAUAGGUUGUGGAUAAUUGGAGUAUCACAUAUAGUAUGGAAAGUUAUAAAUACUUGUAUCGAUUGUAGAAUUUCAAAUCGGCCCUUUAUGGUUCAACAGAUGGGGCAAUUACCUGGUAUACGUAUGGCAAAAAAACACUCGUUUGAAUGUACAUCUGUGGAUCUUUUUGGGCCUUUAAUUGAUUUGACAAAGGAGUUCACCCUUAGAAACUUGGAUAGAUAUUACGUUGAAGAGGGGCUUCCUCCAAGUUAUUGUCAAGAUUAAAUACUCUUUUCAGCAUAAAGUUUGGAACUUGAGUCAAGAUGAAUUCAUAGAAUACAUGUUUCAGAACUUAACUACUACCUACAUUAACAUGUUCUAUAAUUUAUUAAAUUAAAUAGAUUUACAAUA